AAAAAAACAAACCAUAGGUUUUCGUGUCCAACGUUUAACUGUCUGUCUUAUAUAAAAUUUUUUUAUAAUUAGUAUUUUCAUUAUUGUUAGAUGAUAAAAUAUGAUUAAUACUUUAUGCGUGACUUGUCUUUUUAAUUAUUUUCAUAAUUUUUUAAAUAAGACGGAUGGUCAAACGUGGAACACGGAAACACAAGAUUUGUCUUUUU
rfam:Oryza sativa (indica cultivar-group) chromosome 11, whole genome shotgun sequence.